UACGUAGGUGGCAAGCGUUGUCCGGAAUUAUUGGGCGUAAAGCGCGCGCAGGCGGUCCUUUAAGUCUGUCGUGAAAGCCCCGGGCUCAACCUGGGAAUGGCGAUGGAUACUGGCGGGCUAGAGUGCGGUAGAGGGUGGUGGAAUUCCCGGUGUAGCAGUGAAAUGCGUAGAGAUCGGGAGGAACAUCAGUUGCGAAGGCGGCCACCUGGACCAGCACUGACACUGAGGCACGAAAGCGUGGGGAGCAAACAGG
rnacentral:rRNA from 1 species